rnacentral:rRNA from 1 species
UUCUGGUUGAUCCCGCCGGAGGUUACUGCUAUCGGUGUUUGCCUUAGCCAUGCGAGUCAAAUGUUCUUCGUGAACAUGGCGUACUGCUCAGUAACACGUGGAUAAUCUGCCCUCAGGUCUGGGAUAACUCCGGGAAACUGGAGAUAAUACCGGAUAACGCAAAUUUGCUGGAAUGCUUUUUGCGUCAAAGGUCCGCCGCCUGAGGAUGGGUCUGCGGCCUAUCAGGUAGUAGCGGGUGUAAUGUACCUGCUAGCCGACGACGGGUACGGGUUGUGAGAGCAAGAGCCCGGAGAUGGAUUCUGAGACAUGAAUCCAGGCCCUACGGGGCGCAGCAGGCGCGAAAACUUUACAAUGCGGGAAACCGUGAUAAGGGGACACCGAGUGCCAGCAACAUUUGUUGGCUGUCCACGUGCGUAAAAUGCAUGUGUUAGCAAGGGCCGGGCAAGACCGGUGCCAGCCGCCGCGGUAA